UACAGAGGGUGCGAGCGUUAAUCGGAAUUACUGGGCGUAAAGGGUGCGUAGGCGGUUAUAUAAGUUAGAUGUGAAAUCCCUAGGCUUAACCUGGGAACUGCGUUUAAUACUGUAUAGCUAGAGUACUGAAGAGGUUAGUGGAAUUUCCAGUGUAGCGGUGAAAUGCGUAGAUAUUGGAAGGAACACCAGUGGCGAAGGCGACUAACUGGUCAGAUACUGACGCUGAGGCACGAAAGCGUGGGGAGCAAACAGG
rnacentral:rRNA from 1 species